UUUAAUGAGAGUUUGAUCCUGGCUCAGGACGAACGCUGGCGGCGUGCCUAAUACAUGCAAGUAGAACGCUGAAGAGAGGAGCUUGCUCUUCUUGGAAGAGUUGCGAACGGGUGAGUAACGCGUAGGUAACCUGCCUUGUAGCGGGGGAUAACUAUUGGAAACGAUAGCUAAUACCGCAUAACAAUGGGUGACCCAUGUCAUUCAUUUGAAAGGGGCAACUGCUCCACUACAAGAUGGACCUGCGUUGUAUUAGCUAGUAGGUGAGGUAACGGCUCACCUAGGCGACGAUACAUAGCCGACCUGAGAGGGUGAUCGGCCACACUGGGACUGAGACACGGCCCAGACUCCUACGGGAGGCAGCAGUAGGGAAUCUUCGGC
rnacentral:rRNA from 1 species